rnacentral:rRNA from 1 species
GAUCCUGGCUCAGGACGAACGCUGGCGGCGUGCCUAACACAUGCAAGUCGAGCGGAGACAGGGAGUAGCUUGCUACGAACUGUUUUAGCGGCGGACGGGUGAGUAACGCGUGAGCAACCUUUCCCAGACAGGGGAAUAACACACCGAAAGGUGUACUAAUACCGCAUAAGACCACGGGAUCACAUGGUUCUGGGGUAAAAGAAUUAUCGGUUUGGGGUGGGCUCGCGUCCGAUUAGGUAGUUGGUGAGGUAACGGCCCACCAA